rnacentral:tRNA from 1 species
GAGGAAUUAGUUAAAUAAUAACACUGCCUUGUCAAGACAAAAUCAUGAGUUAAACCCUCGUAUUCCUCU